rnacentral:rRNA from 1 species
CGGCCUACGGGACGCAGCAGUGGGGAAUAUUGCACAAUGGGGGAAACCCUGAUGCAGCGACGCCGCGUGAGUGAAGAAGUAUUUCGGUAUGUAAAGCUCUAUCAGCAGGGAAGAAAAUGACGGUACCUGACUAAGAAGCCCCGGCUAACUACGUGCCAGCAGCCGCGGUAAUACGGAGGAUGCGAGCGUUAUCCGGAUUUAUUGGGUUUAAAGGGUGCGCAGGCGGCACGGCAAGCCGGCGGUCAAAUCGCGGGGCUCAACCCCGCCCAGCCGUCGGAACUGCCGGGCU